AAACAACCAACACCAACAACACCACUGCCACCUCAGUCUUCGAGAAAAAUAGAAAGACCGUUUCGUGGCUCUGGGGAGAGCCGAAGGGUCCUCUACGGACUUCUCAAAACGAGUCCAUGAAUGGUAACCAUGGCCUGUCGCCAUCAGUUGUCGAGACAAUAGCUGGCUUCGCCGCUGGCAUUUCAUCAACCCUCGUGGUUCACCCCCUCGAUAUGAUCAAGACGAGACUCCAAGGUACAGUAUAUGAAGUGUCUCUAUUAACCUAUUCCGCUAUCCUGGUAAAAGAUAGCACUCAAUAAUUUUUUUUUUUUUUUUUUUUUUUUUUUUUUUUGCAGUGGACCGUUUCUCCACCUCGCGAAUUGGCAGCUCGCUCUGCAUCGCUCGCAGCAUCGUGCAAAAUGAGGGUGGCAUCGUAACUGGCUUCUAUCGGGGCCUCACACCAAAUAUCGUGGGGAAUUCAGUGAGCUGGGGUUUGUAUUUCCUCUGGUAUAGCAAUAUUAAGGACACCCUACAUGUCUUGCACGGAUCGAGGAAGGAAGAAGGGUUGGGAUCGUUGGAUUACUUCGCCGCAUCUGGGGCUGCAGGCGUACUAACAGCUUUUCUCACCAAUCCGAUCUGGGUCAUAAAAACCCGCAUGCUCUCCACCGGCUCACAAGUCCCCGGCGCCUACCCCUCUCUUGUUGCAGGUGCGCGCUCCAUAUACCGUUCUGAAGGAGUUAUGGGUUUCUACCGCGGCAUGAUUCCCGCCCUAUUCGGCGUGAGCCACGGUGCCCUCCAGUUCAUGUCCUACGAAAAACUCAAACAAUGCCGUGCAGCACCGUCAUCUGUCGUCGGCAUGUCUGGAAACGGAAACGCAAAUGGAGGUACGACAACCAAAGACCUCAAACUAGGCAACAUGGAUUACCUUGUUCUCUCCGGCACGUCCAAGGUAUUCGCUGGCUGCGUGACGUAUCCGUACCAGGUACUUAAAGCCCGGCUGCAGACGUACGAUGCAGCUGGAACGUAUCGCGGAGUGAUAGAUGCGAUCGGCCAGAUAUGGCGCAGGGAACGUGUGAUGGGGUUUUAUAAAGGGUUGGGACCAAAUUUGCUGCGUGUGUUGCCAAGUACCUGGGUCACUUUUUUGGUUUAUGAAAAUGUUAGGAUUCAUUUGUCGAUGGGUCCGGUAGUGUGACUUCGGGGAAGAGGGCGUUACCAGGAUCUGAUUUUAUUUGCUUGCCUAUACAUAUCCGCCGGUUUGAUACUACGCUCUAUAUAUAUUGAGGAGAGUUGGUAGCCUUUGUUUUGAGGUGGAUUCGCCGGUCUUGUGAGGUGAAUGGUCUUCGUCAAUGUCAAAAAGGCUUUACCCACCCUCAUUUUAGGAUAUUAGGUGUGGACAGUCAUUCGGCGGUUUUUGUUGUGCAGUUUCAGUUGCUUUCCUCCCCGAUUUACUCGAUCGUGAGGCGUAGUGUUGUCCUCGUAUCUAAAUGCCUUUUCUUUCCUUUCGGCAGACUUCUCUUCAGAUAUCCCGUGAACCAAGAAACCAAGAAAUCAAACUGGAGAUCAUGUACACCAAAUUAAAUGCAAAUAUACAUAG
rnacentral:sRNA from 1 species